GAUGAACGCUGGCGGCGUGCCUAAUACAUGCAAGUCGAGCGAACGGACGAGAAGCUUGCUUCUCUGAUGUUAGCGGCGGACGGGUGAGUAACACGUGGAUAACCUACCUAUAAGACUGGGAUAACUUCGGGAAACCGGAGCUAAUACCGGAUAAUAUUUUGAACCGCAUGGUUCAAAAGUGAAAGACGGUCUUGCUGUCACUUAUAGAUGGAUCCGCGCUGCAUUAGCUAGUUGGUAAGGUAACGGCUUACCAAGGCAACGAUGCAUAGCCGACCUGAGAGGGUGAUCGGCCACACUGGAACUGAGACACGGUCCAGACUCCUACGGGAGGCAGCAGUAGGGAAUCUUCCGCAAUGGGCGAAAGCCUGACGGAGCAACGCCGCGUGAGUGAUGAAGGUCUUCGGAUCGUAAAACUCUGUUAUUAGGGAAGAACAUAUGUGUAAGUAACUGUGCACAUCUUGACGGUACCUAAUCAGAAAGCCACGGCUAACUACGUGCCAGCAGCCGCGGUAAUACGUAGGUGGCAAGCGUUAUCCGGAAUUAUUGGGCGUAAAGCGCGCGUAGGCGGUUUUUUAAGUCUGAUGUGAAAGCCCACGGCUCAACCGUGGAGGGUCAUUGGAAACUGGAAAACUUGAGUGCAGAAGAGGAAAGUGGAAUUCCAUGUGUAGCGGUGAAAUGCGCAGAGAUAUGGAGGAACACCAGUGGCGAAGGCGACUUUCUGGUCUGUAACUGACGCUGAUGUGCGAAAGCGUGUGGAUCAAACAGGAUUAGAUACCCUGGUAGUCCACGCCGUAAACGAUGAGUGCUAAGUGUUAGGGGGUUUCCGCCCCUUAGUGCUGCAGCUAACGCAUUAAGCACUCCGCCUGGGGAGUACGACCGCAAGGUUGAAACUCAAAGGAAUUGACGGGGACCCGCACAAGCGGUGGAGCAUGUGGUUUAAUUCGAAGCAACGCGAAGAACCUUACCAAAUCUUGACAUCCUUUGACAACUCUAGAGAUAGAGCUUUCCCCUUCGGGGGACAAAGUGACAGGUGGUGCAUGGUUGUCGUCAGCUCGUGUCGUGAGAUGUUGGGUUAAGUCCCGCAACGAGCGCAACCCUUAAGCUUAGUUGCCAUCAUUAAGUUGGGCACUCUAAGUUGACUGCCGGUGACAAACCGGAGGAAGGUGGGGAUGACGUCAAAUCAUCAUGCCCCUUAUGAUUUGGGCUACACACGUGCUACAAUGGACAAUACAAAGGGCAGCGAAACCGCGAGGUCAAGCAAAUCCCAUAAAGUUGUUCUCAGUGCGGAUUGUAGUCUGCAACUCGACUACAUGAAGCUGGAAUCGCUAGUAAUCGUAGAUCAGCAUGCUACGGUGAAUACGUUCCCGGGUCU
rnacentral:rRNA from 1 species